rnacentral:rRNA from 1 species
CGCAUCUGUGCAUGCAGCAUAUCAAUAAGCGGAGGAAAAGAAACUAACAAGGAUUCCCCUAGUAACGGCGAGUGAAGCGGGAAGAGCUCAAAUUUGAAAUCUUAAAGGGUUUCCCUUUACGAAUUGUAGUUUAAAGAAGUGUUUUCUGUUGAGGUUUUGGUAAAAGUUCUUUGGAAUAGGACAUCAUAGAGGGUGAGAAUCCCGUAUUUGACCUUUACUUUCAACUUUGUGAUACACAUUUCAAAGAGUCGGAUUGUUUGGGAAUGCAGUCCAAAAUGGGUGGUAAAUUUCAUCUAAAGCUAAAUAUUGGCGAGAGACCGAUAGCGAACAAGUACCGUGAGGGAAAGAUGAAAAGAACUUUGAAAAGAGAGUUAAACAGUACGUGAAAUUGUCAAAAGGGAAGCGUUUGACACCAGUGUUGUUUUUCUGAAAAUCAAUUAAAGAACUGUUUAUGCUAAGCUGUUUAGACUUUAUCAGCUAACUGUUUAGUUUUGAGCUUUUCUUUAAUGCACUUUUCAGUUAACAAGUCAACAUCAAUUUCUUUUGCUGUAAAAAAGCUUGAGGAAGGUGGCUUGAGAUUCGUCUUAAGUGUUUAUAGCCUCUUGCCUAUGCAGUCGGAGAGAUUGAGGUCUGCAGCGUAGAUCCUUCGGGGCUAAAUGCAUUUGUGCUAAGUCAUAGCAUUUUAUAGACAACUUGUUGACUAUGAUUUGUCUUGUAGCUUACUCGCUUAUGUUAUUUUACCUACGCUUAGGAUGUUGACAGCAGUAUAGACUGU